GCCCGAAUAGUUCUAGUGGCAAAACGAGCCCUUGGUAAGGGCUAGUCGCGAGUUCGAUUCUCGCUUCGGGCU
rnacentral:tRNA from 2 species